rnacentral:rRNA from 1 species
GAUGAACGCUGGCGGCGUGCCUAAUACAUGCAAGUCGAGCGAACAGACGAGGCGCUUGCUCCUCUGACGUUAGCGGCGGACGGGUGAGUAACACGUGGAUAACCUACCUAUAAGACUGGGAUAACUUCGGGAAACCGGAGCUAAUACCGGAUAAUAUAUUGAACCGCAUGGUUCAAUAGUGAAAGACGGUUUUGCUGUCACUUAUAGAUGGAUCCGCGCCGCAUUAGCUAGUUGGUAAGGUAACGGCUUACCAAGGCAACGAUGCGUGGCCGACCUGAGAGGGUGAUCGGCCACACUGGAACUGGGACACGCUCCAGACUCCUACGGGAGGCAGCAGUAGGGAAUCUUCCGCAAUGGGCGAAAGCUUGACGGAGCAACGGCGCGUGAGUGAUGAAGGUCUUCGGAUCGUAAAACUCUGUUAUUAGGGAAGAACAAAUGUGUAAGUAACUAUGCACGUCUUGACGGUACCUAAUCAGAAAGCCACGGCUAACUACGUG